rnacentral:rRNA from 1 species
UACGGAGGGUGCAAGCGUUAUCCGGAUUCACUGGGUUUAAAGGGUGCGUAGGCGGGCAGGUAAGUCCGUGGUGAAAUCUCUGAGCUUAACUCAGAAACUGCCAUGGAUACUAUUUGUCUUGAAUAUUGUGGAGGUAAGCGGAAUAUGUCAUGUAGCGGUGAAAUGCUUAGAUAUGACAUAGAACACCAAUUGCGAAGGCAGCUUACUACACAGUUAUUGACGCUGAGGCACGAGAGCGUGGGGAUCAAACAGG